ACUUCUUCACUGCUCUUUCGGGAGGCAGAUCGUGCUGAAAUGACUGUGGUAAAACCCAUAGUGGCCGACGUGCUCUCGUUCCACAUAAAGAAGUCCAUGACUCUGAGAGGACACAAUUAGAAGUUGAGUAUUCGAAGCUUUCUGGAUCAGCUGCCAUUUAUCUGUACAUUUCACUGGCCUAACUGAGAGGAGAAUAAGGAGUAUCCACGUCAGAGGGAGCCUGGCAAGUUCUGCUUACCAUCUCAUACUACAGAUUAUUGCUGCCUGGGAGCUCACUGUUGCUGAUAGCUCACUUUCUUUGACUUCAAGAAGAGUCUUGGAAAUGUGAAUUCUCUCAUGACAAUCCAUCUGAUGAGGCCGUUUCACUGGACAUCUUCUAACUGUCUGGAAGACUCAAUAUCACACUUAACCCUGGAUAUUUUUUAUUCUCUUACUAGUGAAUGAAGAAGUGUAACCAUCCAGGAUUAUUUUUUAAAAAAUAAAUCCAGAUAAGAAUAUCUGUCAUUGUGUAAUUCGGUAUGUGAUGGAGAACUCAGAAGCUUGCAGCUGCUUCAUCCAAAAUACACAUUCUGUAUCUGAAUUGAGGGGUGAAGAUAGCAAUAGUUCUGUUACUAAGCCCAAAGAAAUCUGUUGGAUGUUAUUAAUACUUAAUUAGAAUAAUCUACUGGGCAGAUUGGAAGGACAUGUCCAUUCUACAGGUGAAGCAAUUACCAUGUUACAUGUUUUGGGAAAGGACACUGUUGAAUUUAGUACUUAGGUGUCUAAGAAUGACCAACAGUUGGUGAAUCAUCUUCAGUAAAAGCCAAUGAUCACAUUGGGAAGUGUCCCACAGACACCAGAAGUAGUUCAUAAGACGUGACCCUCAAGCAGGAACUGAGGAGACCCAGGUCUCUUCAACUCCUAAUAUGAUAUAUCUCUAAUCACCGGCAUUGAAAAUUGUUUGAAGAAUUACAAUUUCAAGACGGUAAACUGAGUACCUCCUCAUAUAAGAAAUUCAUGAAACAACAAAAAGUACUGAAAACAAUAAAAAGUUAUCUUUGCAAUGAGAACUGUUAAGAGACUCUGGAAGUUUGAAAGCAUAUGUGCUCAUAUUUACGUGUAAAUCAAAAUAGAAAAUAGAGCAGACAGAGA